rnacentral:rRNA from 1 species
AACGAACGCUGGCGGCAGGCCUAACACAUGCAAGUCGAACGCACCGCAAGGUGAGUGGCGCACGGGUGAGUAACACGUGGGAAUGUAUCCUUUGGUUCGGAAUAACGUUUGGAAACGAACGCUAAUACCGGAUGAGCCCUGUGGGGGAAAGAUUUAUCGCCAAAGGAGCAGCCCGCGUCUGAUUAGGUAGUUGGUGGGGUAAUGGCCUACCAAGCCGACGAUCAGUAGCUGGUCUGAGAGGAUGAUCAGCCACACUGGGACUGAGACACGGCCCAGACUCCUACGGGAGGCAGCAGUGGGGAAUAUUGGACAAUGGGCGCAAGCCUGAUCCAGCCAUGCCGCGUGAGUGAUGAAGGCCUUCGGGUUGUAAAGCUCUUUCGCACACGACGAUGAUGACGGUAGUGUGAGAAGAAGCCCCGGCUAACUUCGUGCCAGCCGCCGCAGUAAAAC